AAAUUGAAGAGUUUGAUCAUGGCUCAGAUUGAACGCUGGCGGCAGGCCUAACACAUGCAAGUCGAACGGUAACAGGAAGCAGCUUGCUGCUUUGCUGACGAGUGGCGGACGGGUGAGUAAUGUCUGGGAAACUGCCUGAUGGAGGGGGAUAACUACUGGAAACGGUGGCUAAUACCGCAUAACGUCGCAAGACCAAAGAGGGGGACCUUCGGGCCUCUUGCCAUCAGAUGUGCCCAGAUGGGAUUAGCUUGUUGGUGAGGUAACGGCUCACCAAGGCGACGAUCCCUAGCUGGUCUGAGAGGAUGACCAGCCACACUGGAACUGAGACACGGUCCAGACUCCUACGGGAGGCAGCAGUGGGGAAUAUUGCACAAUGGGCGCAAGCCUGAUGCAGCCAUGCCGCGUGUAUGAAGAAGGCCUUCGGGUUGUAAAGUACUUUCAGCGGGGAGGAAGGUGUUGCGGUUAAUAACCGCAGCAAUUGACGUUACCCGCAGAAGAAGCACCGGCUAACUCCGUGCCAGCAGCCGCGGUAAUACGGAGGGUGCAAGCGUUAAUCGGAAUUACUGGGCGUAAAGCGCACGCAGGCGGUCUGUCAAGUCGGAUGUG
rnacentral:rRNA from 1 species